CAAAUACUCCCUCCGUUCCAAAUUACUCGUCUCAGAAAUGGAUGUAUUUAGAACUAAAAUACAUCUAAAUACAUCCAUUUCUGCGACGAGUAAUUCGGAACGGAGGGAGUACUAC
rnacentral:pre_miRNA from 1 species